UACGGAAGGCAGCAGUGGGGAAUAUUGCACAAUGGGCGAAAGCCUGAUGCAGCUAUGCCGCGUGUAUGAAGAAGGCCUUAGGGUUGUAAAGUACUUUCAUCGGGGAGGAAAAAACAAAACUAAUAAUUUUAUUUCUUGACGUUACCCGAAAAAGAAGCACCGGCUAACUCCUUGCCAGCAGCCGCGGUAAUACGGAGGGUGCUAGCGUUAAUCAGAAUUACUGGGCGUAAAGAGCACGUAGGUGGUUUUUUUAAGUUCAGAUGUGAAAUCCCUGGGCUUAACCUAGGAACUGCAUUUUGAAACUGAAAUACUAGAGUAUCGUAGAGGGAGGUAGAAUUCUAGGUGUAGCGGUGAAAUGCGUAGAUAUCUGGAGGAAUACCUGUGGCGAAAGCGGCCUCCUAAACGAAUACUGACACUGAGGUGCGAAAGCGUGGGGAGCAAACAGGGAUUAGAUACCCGU
rnacentral:rRNA from 1 species